CGAAGAUUUCAUCACAGAUCUCAUGAAGUCGUGAGCGAUGGGUGAGGGUGGCCAAGUAGAGAACUGGAAUGAUGAGCGCCUCUGGAAAACUUUGAAGAUUAUGUCUGGCUUUCUUCUCUGAUUCCAGUGCUUCCUGAUAUGUGAGUCCUGGUUUACCUGUGACAGCACAGCUCCAUACGAGGCUGUUACACAGAAUGGUGCGUUCAAAAAAAUCAUCGUAGUCCCUGAAGAUCUCGUUGGUGACCCUGCAGUAGAACACGCGCUCGUCCGGCCGCAGGUCGGCGGGGGGCUUCUCCCUCACGAAGGGCUUUCGGUGCAGCAGCGGCAUCGCCCCGUUCCGUUCUCUCCUCGCUGCGCCGGGACCCGGGGAGAAAGGAGACGGAGGGAGGCGGUGAGCGCGGGCCCGGCGCGUCCCUCCCCCGGGGGCGCCGGAGAAGGAGCGGCAGAGAGCGGCGGCACGGCGGGAUCCGGCGGCGGCGGCCUUUUGUGUGCCUGACACGCCGCUGCCUGCCUGGGACUGCGCGGGGAGCGGCGGCGGAUCCUUCCUCCCCCGCCUCCUCCCGCCGCCUCACAAUGGGGCCAUGACGCCGAGCGGCGGGCGGGCGCGGCGCCCCCCCCGCCCGCGCCACACAACGUGCUCGGCGCGGGGACACCCCGGCCGCCGCCGCCGCCGGCUUUGUCUCCGCCGCCCCCCCCCGGCCCCGGGUCACCCCUUCCCCGCCUCCGAGCCGCGCGCCGCGGCCGGACACAACUUCCACUCCCCGCGGG
rnacentral:lncRNA from 1 species